rnacentral:rRNA from 1 species
CCUACGGGAGGCAGCAGUGAGGAAUAUUGGUCAAUGGGCGAGAGUCUGAACCAGCCAAGUAGCGUGAGGGAUGACGGCCCUAUGGGUUGUAAACCUCUUUUAUAUGGGAAUAAAAUGUUCCACGUGUGGGAUUUUGUAUGUACCAUAUGAAUAAGGAUCGGCUAACUCCGUGCCAGCAGCCGCGGUAAUACGGAGGAUCCGAGCGUUAUCCGGAUUUAUUGGGUUUAAAGGGAGCGUAGGCGGCUUUUUAAGUCAGCUGUGAAAGUUUGCGGCUCAACCGUAAAAUUGCAGUUGAAACUGGGGGGCUUGAGUACUGUUGAGGCAGGCGGAAUGCGUGGUGUAGCGGUGAAAUGCUUAGAUAUCACGAAGAACCCCGAUUGCGAAGGCAGCUUGC